rnacentral:rRNA from 1 species
UCUCAGUUCGGAUUGUAGGCUGAAACUCGCCUACAUGAAGCUGGAGUUACUAGUAAUCGCAGAUCAGAAUGCUGCGGUGAAUGCGUUCCCGGGUCUUGUACACACCGCCCGUCACACCACGGAAGUUGGGGGCGCCCGAAGCCACUUAGCUAACCCUUUUGGGAAGCGAGUGUCGAAGGUGAAAUCAAUAACUGGGGUGAAGUCGUAACAAGGUAAC